AAAGAAAUUGGAUAAGAGAUGAUGAAGGAUAACAGCUAGGAACCGUCCACGUGUAUGGUGGAUGUUCACCAAUUUGGUCUUCCAUGAGACUACAUUAUAGAGAACCCAAAACACAAAAGUUCACAAUCACAUACUGCUUUGGAAAUUAAGAUUUUGAUUCUAAGAGUUUGAAAAACAAAAUGAGUUCUGGUUGCAAGUGUGGUGACAACUGCUCAUGUGGAGAUAGUUGCAAUUGCCUCUCGAGGACCAUCAAGAAGGCCACCUCCCUAAUCAACAUGAAUAACGGUUGCAGCUGCUGUGAUAGUAGCUGCUCAUGCGACGCCUGCGAUUGCUGCUAAUGAGCUCUUGGAGAGAUGAAUGAAUCCCUUAAACAACAAAGCUCUGUGAAAUGGAAUAAAAUUAUGUAACAAUAUGCAAAAAAGAAAAUUGUGCUUUUGGCUUCUUGUGUUUUUGCACUUUGUUUGAAAUUAGUGUGUGAAAGAACUAUGUAACUGCUUUGUUGUGGGCUAUGAGUGGGUUGUUGUUUUAUAUAAUCAAAGUUGCUACAAAUAUUUGUUUGGAGUAUUGUGUGUAAUGGAAAUUUGGUUUAAUUUGUGUAA